rnacentral:rRNA from 1 species
AACGAACGCUGGCGGCAGGCCUAACACAUGCAAGUCGAGCGAACCCUUCGGGGUUAGCGGCGGACGGGUUAGUAACGCGUGGGAAUAUACCCUUUGGUACGGAAUAGCCUCGGGGAAACUGAGAGUAAUACCGUAUGUGCCCCUCGGGGGAAAGAUUUAUCGCCAAAGGAUUAGCCCGCGUUGGAUUAGAUAGUUGGUGGGGUAAUGGCCUACCAAGUCUACGAUCCAUAGCUGGUUUGAGAGGAUGAUCAGCAACACUGGGACUGAGACACGGCCCAGACUCCUACGGGAGGCAGCAGUGGGGAAUCUUAGACAAUGGGCGCAAGCCUGAUCUAGCCAUGCCGCGUGGACGAUGAAGGCCUUAGGGUUNUAAAGUCCUUUCAGAUGGGAAGAGUAAUGACGGUACCAUCAGAAGAAGCCCCGGCUAACUCCGUGCCAGCCAGCCGCGGUAAUGUAGACGUCU